rnacentral:rRNA from 1 species
UACGGAGGGUGCAAACGUUGCUCGGAAUCAUUGGGCGUAAAGCGCGCGUAGGCGGCCUGAUAAGUCGGGUGUGAAAGCCCUGGGCUCAACCCAGGAAGUGCACUCGAAACUGUCAGGCUUGAAUAUGGAAGAGGGUCGCGGAAUUCCCGGUGUAGAGGUGAAAUUCGUAGAUAUCGGGAGGAACACCAGUGGCGAAGGCGGCGACCUGGGCCAAUAUUGACGCUGAGGUGCGAAAGCGGUGGGGAGCAAACAGG